rnacentral:rRNA from 1 species
GACGAACGCUGGCGGCGUGCUUAACACAUGCAAGUCGAACGGAAAGGCCCUGCUUUUGUGGGGUGCUCGAGUGGCGAACGGGUGAGUAACACGUGAGUAACCUGCCCUUGACCUUGGGAUAACUUCAGGAAACUGGGGCUAAUACCGGAUAGGAGCUCCUGCUGCAUGGUGGGGGUUGGAAAGUUUCGGCGGUUGGGGAUGGACUCGCGGCUUAUCAGCUUGUUGGUGGGGUAGUGGCUUACCAAGGCUUUGACGGGUAGCCGGCCUGAGAGGGUGACCGGCCCCAUUGGGACUGAGAUACGGCCCAGACUCCUACGGGAGGCAGCAGUGGGGCAUAUUGCACAAUGGGCGGAAGCCUGAUGCAGCAACGCCGCGUGCGGGAUGACGGCCUUCGGGUUGUAAACCGCUUUCGCCUGUGACGAAGCGUGAGUGACGGUCAUGGGUAAAGAAGCACCGGCUAACUACG